UGAUGACUGGGGCUGCACCAUCUGUCAUCCCACAGAUGGCCAGAAUCCUGUCAGCUGACGUACUGUCCAUUCCUCCUAACGUUGUGCACUCAGUCAAAGAGGUCAGCCUCUCUUAAGAGGAAACCACCACCCUUCAAUCGAGGGUAUAAAAUAAGUAUGGCUGCAACUGAGUUGUGGCUCCAGACUGAUUUAUUUUUAUUCCCUGAGGACAUUUCAGGAUGAAUCUCUCA
rnacentral:sRNA from 1 species